rnacentral:rRNA from 2 species
CACGCCCUAAACGAUGUACACUAGUUGUUGUGAGACUUGAUCUUGCAGUAAUGCAGUUAACACAUUAAGUGUACCGCCUGGGGAGUACGGUCGCAAGAUUAAAACUCAAAGGAAUAGACGGGGACCCGCACAAGCGGUGGAGCAUGUGGUUUAAUUCGACGAUACACGAAGAACCUUACCUGGACUUGACAUAGUAAGAACUUUCUAGAGAUAGAUUGGUGUCUGCUUGCAGAAACUUAUAUACAGGUGC